rnacentral:rRNA from 2 species
CGGACGGGUGAGUAACACGUGGGUAACCUGCCUGUAAGACUGGGAUAACUCCGGGAAACCGGGGCUAAUACCGGAUGCUUGAUUGAACCGCAUGGUUCAAUUAUAAAAGGUGGCUUUUAGCUANCACUUACAGAUGGACCCGCGGCGCAUUAGCUAGUUGGUGAGGUAACGGCUCACCAAGGCNACGAUGCGUAGCCGACCUGAGAGGGUGAUCGGCCACACUGGGACUGAGACACGGCCCAGACUCCUACGGGAGGCAGCAGUAGGGAAUCUUCCGCAAUGGACGAAAGUCUGACGGAGCAACGCCGCGUGAGUGAUGAAGGUUUUCGGAUCGUAAAACUCUGUUGUUAGGGAAGAACAAGUACCGUUCGAAUAGGGCGGUACCUUGACGGUACCUAACCAGAAAGCCACGGCUAACUACGUGCCAGCAGCCGCGGUAAUACGUAGGUGGCAAGCGUUGUCCGGAAUUAUUGGGCGUAAAGCGCGCGCAGGCGGUUUCUUAAGUCUGAUGUGAAAGCCCCCGGCUCAACCGGGGAGGGUCAUUGGAAACUGGGGAACUUGAGUGCAGAAGAGGAGAGUGGAAUUCCACGUGUAGCGGUGAAAUGCGUAGAGAUGUGGAGGAACACCAGUGGCGAAGGCGACUCUCUGGUCUGUAACUGACGCUGAGGCGCGAAAGCGUGGGGAGCGAACAGGAUUAGAUACCCUGGUAGUCCACGCCGUAAACGAUGAGUGCUAAGUGUUAGAGGGUUUCCGCCCUUUAGUGCUGCAGCAAACGCAUUAAGCACUCCGCCUGGGGAGUACGGUCGCAAGACUGAAACUCAAAGGAAUUGACGGGGGCCCGCACAAGCGGUGGAGCAUGUGGUUUA